rnacentral:tRNA from 1 species
GUAAUUAUAAAUUAAAUUAUUAAAAUAUAAAUUGUGUUAAAAGAUAAAAAAUAUAUUAUUUUAUUUUAUAUUUGAAUUAAAUAGAUUUAAUAUUUUUUGUAAUUUUUGCUUUUUAUAUAAUAUAUGAACUAUUAAAAAUAUUAAAAUUUUAUUUAUUAUAACUAACAGGUGAAUUUAAAAUAUUUUAGAUUUAAAUUUUUAAUUUCA